UACGGAGGGGGCGAGCGUUGUCCGAAGUUACUGGGCGUAAAGCGCGCGUAGGCGGGACCCCAAGUCCGCUGUGAAAGCCCGAGGCUCAACCUCGGAGGGUCGGUAGAUACUGGAGUUCUUGAAGAUGCUAGGGGGAGAUGGAAUUACCGGUGUAGCGGUGAAAUGCGUAGAGAUCGGUAGGAACACCAGUGGCGAAGGCGGUCUCCUGGGGCAUUCUUGACGCUGAGGCGCGAAAGCUGGGGGAGCGAACGGG
rnacentral:rRNA from 1 species